CGCUUGGGGCAAUGACGCAGCUAAUGAGGUUCUAACCGAGGCGCGUCUAUUGCUGGUUGAAAACUAUUUCCAAACCCCCUCUUCGGCCUGGGCUUGACCCUGACCGUCGAGAAUUUCUGGAAGGGCUCCCUUCGGGCACCAGCACGCCUUAUAUCGCGUCAAAUGAGUACAAUGUAUCCAUUAGCAACGUGACACAUGAUAAUAGCGCCACAUCAGUAUUUUCCUUUAGAAGGAGAUAUGUUCGAAUAAAAUGGAGACCACGGUUCCAUGUCUGCGGCUACCACUGCUCGAUCUUAUCCCUUGUGAUACAGUUCCGGUAAUCUGAUCCAACGGUCUUCAUCUUUUCUAUUAAACAUUCAAUAAGAAGUGGAAGCCUGCAAUUUCCAUACCAAUCCUCUCUCUUUUUCGGACACUGUAUCUCCGAUUUGACGAGAUCCGUGAAUUCUAGAUGGAUUGGCAAGGGCAGAAGCUAGCGGAGCAACUGAUGCAGAUCUUGCUGCUGGUAUUCGCGGUGGUGGCCUUCACUGCUGGCUAUUUAAUGGGAUCGUUUCAAACUAUGAUCCAAAUUUACGCUGGUGGAGUGGUACUCACUACAUUGAUUACUGUUCCCAAUUGGCCUUGGUUUAAUCGCCAUCCUCUCCAGUGGUUGGACCCUAGCGAAGCAGAGAAGCACCCCAAGCCUCAGGUUCAGCCUGUAAGUUCGAAGAAGAAAUCUGCUAAAAAGUAGGUCUUUUUAUUAAGUCAUAUGGAUUUUUAAUUGCACAUCGAAUGGCAUGUUAUGCGAAUGAAUUGGUUGUUAUAAUGAAAUUGAAGAUUGGGACUGAGUAGUAUUUUUUUCAUUUUCUGGGCUUGUGAUUC